CGACGGGUGAGUAACGCGUAUGCAACUUGCCUAUCAGAGGGGGACAACCCGGCGAAAGUCGGACUAAUACCGCAUGAAGCAGGGGCCCCGCAUGGGGAUAUUUGCUAAAGAUUCAUCGCUGAUAGAUAGGCAUGCGUUCCAUUAGGCAGUUGGCGGGGCAACGGCCCACCAAACCGACGAUGGAUAGGGGUUCUGAGAGGAAGGUCCCCCACAUUGGUACUGAGACACGGACCAA
rnacentral:rRNA from 1 species